UACGUAGGAGGCGAGCGUUGUCCGGAGUUACUGGGCGUAAAGCGCACGCAGGCGGUCUCUUAAGUUUGUAGGGACAGGGCACAGCUCAACUGUGUCAGGCUUACGAAAACUGGGAGACUUGAGGGCUUCAGAGGGAUGGGGAAUUCCGGGUGGAGUGGUGAAAUGCGUAGAGAUCCGGAAGAACACCAAAGGCGAAGGCACCAUCCUGGGGAGUCACUGACGCUCGGGUGCGAAGCCAGGGGAGCGAACGGG
rnacentral:rRNA from 1 species